rnacentral:rRNA from 1 species
ACCAGACUCCUACGGGAGGCAGCAGUGGGGAAUAUUGCACAAUGGGGGAAACCCUGAUGCAGCAACGCCGCGUGAGUGAUGACGGCCUUCAGGUUGUAAAGCUCUGUCUUCAGGGACGAUAAUGACGGUACCUGAGGAGGAAGCCACGGCUAACUACGUGCCAGCAGCCGCGGUAAUACGUAGGGAGCGAGCGUUGUCCGGAAUUACUGGGUGUAAAGGGAGCGUAGGCGGGGAUGCAAGUUGGGUGUUAAAUCUACCGGCUCAACUGGUAGUCGCACUCAAAACUGCAGCUCUUGAGUGAAGUAGAGGCAGGCGGAAUUCCUAGUGUAGCGGUGAAAUGCGUAGAUAUUAGGAGGAACACCAGUGGCGAAGGCGGCCUGCUGGGCUUUUACUGACGCUGAGGCUCGAAAGUGUGGGGAGCAAACAGGAUUAGAUACCCUUGUAA